rnacentral:lncRNA from 1 species
UCCAAAGCAAUGGACGGCUCAUAAUUAAUUAUUUGAUGGUACCUUAAAAAAUCCGUUGGUAUUACUAGUAAAGAUGGUUGAAAAACAGGGAUUUACUGUAAAAGCUGGCACAUAAGGAAUUUUUAUAUAUCUAAAUCCCUCCCUACAUUAGCUGCCAACAAUGCAAAAUUACCGGGUAGGAAACAAUCUGCACCAACUUGUAACCUGCUCAUCCUGAAAGAUUUAUUGAAUGCGCCAACUGAUGAAUCUGGAAGUGAACAUGUCAGGAAUAGAACACCAUUCAGAAAAACAAAGCACAAUAAUGGGAGAUUUAUCGUCCAUGCAGGAAUGGAAAACAUGCUACCUGCGAAAGAGAUUCAUGUAACUUCAGAAAAAGCAAGACAUAGCAGAUGCAUUUCUGAUUUGUCUCGAGCAAGAAACACACAUAAUGAACAUCCUAGUGAUGUUAUGAGUAAUGGGGCACACCAAACAUCUGUUUCUACUGCUCUAGAUGUCGAUUUAGAUUUCUGUAGAAAAUAAGGUUAAUUAGAUCAUGUGAUUACAAAUAUGUCAGUUUAGAAAAAUGUUAUUACUACUCGACUAAUUGUAAGGAUGUCAUUAUAAUUUUAGAACUAUUUAAGAUAUAUCAUUUUUGGACCAAAUUGCCCUUUACGCUUACAAAGGGUAUAGGGAAUAACAUAAGGGUAAUAUGGUCUAUUUUUAAAAAAAUGCACCGAAAGGGUAUGGAGUUGCAUAUUUUGAAUAGUUCUGAAAUUAUAAUGACAUUCUUAGGAUUAGUCGAAUAAUAAUGGUAUUUUUCUAAACUGUUAAAUUUAUAAUAACAUGAUCUAAUUAACCCUAGAAAGGGUAAUAUGGGUUGGGCAGAGCUGAAAGAAACACCACCAUUACUAGAGAUAGAAGAAGAUAUUCAUAAUCAGAAUAACAUAGUGUUGAAGGUAUGCCACAAGAAUAUUUGUUUUAUAAAGUUUCAUAUUGUUUUCCGUGUUAACUUGUCAACGGAUGCAAACAAUCAGCAUGAAAAUUAACAGAGUCCCUAUAAGUAGAAAAUGGGUUUUAAGGAAAUUGACAUCAAAAAUUGAUCCCCACUUUGCCAGGUGUGGGAUAGUAGUGGGUGGCACAGAGCUAUCAUUUCAUAUUUCUAGGGGCUGAAUGUCUACUGGACUUCUAUUUUUCUCCUGCAGUUUGUGGGCUAAUAAAUUGCACUAUCUUACAUUCUUGUAGUAUGAUAUGAUAAGAUAUAUACAUAGUAACAUUGAUUUGAGUCAAUUUUUGUUUAAUUCUCGUUAUCAAAAAAAAUUACAUUUGGCUGCAGGGCCAUGAGGGGAGAAAGCCAAGCCGUGGAGAUUAACAUCGCUGAUAUGUCUGAACGAAUACAUUCUUCUCAUAUUGUAAGCUUAGAUCAUCGCAAAUGCUCAAAUACAACUGCUUCAUUGCAACAAAUUUGUGAACAUGAGACUGCAUAUUUUAGAAUCUUUAAAGGCGUCAGAGACGGCAUUCACGGUAUGUGUAUAUAAAAUUAGGAUUUUUUAUCAUACUUAAAAAAUACCUCAAGAUAACCAGAAUUUUAAUACAAAUUUUUGGUAUCUCAAAGUACCAUACUUUUUACACUAAAAAGUAAGUACCUUGAGAUACUUUUUCAAGGAUGAUAAAAAAGCUCAUAAACUUAACUUUAUUUUCCUGCACUCCGAUAUUUUCCAUUGUUGAUAACCUGUUGCAAAUCACUGGUUUGCAAGAUAGUUUACCAUGUAAUAUUUGGGGCCUCCAUUUUAUUGGUCUUAUUAUGGAGUGUUGUAAAACAUCAAUCCUACAGUAACCUGUAUUAAAACAUAAUGUAAAUCAUAGUUUAAAGUUGCAAACUUGUAAUGAACAAAAAUACUUGCUACUUGCCUAUCUGACCGGAGCACGCGCUGGCGAUGACAAGAUUACAGAAAUCCGCCACCGCGAGGCCGCGGAACACGUGUUUGAGCCGCGAGACGCGUCCAGGUGCGGCUACACCUCGGCCGCGCACAACUCCGGUAGCUCGCCCAGCUCGGCGCCGACGACCAUGCCGGACACCAUCACCGCCGUGGAGAAUGCACGGUUCGAAGGCGGGGAAGGGUGGUGCUCGGUGGCCGGGCGGGAAAAAGACGCCGAUGGAAGAUGAGGACGCGGGAGCGGAGCCAGCGGCAGAGAAGCUGCGGCGGUGGUAGCGGAGAGGCGGCGUAGGAGGAGGACACGGCGGCGGAGGCGGCGGCGGAGGAGGAGGACGACCGGGGGUCGGAGGCGGGGGUGGAGGAGGAGGACACACGGGGGCGGAUGAGGUUGUAGAGCUAGAUUGCCAUGGUGGGCAUGGCCGUCACCGGAGUUGGUGUGAAUGGGUGGGUGGGCGGCGGCGCCGGGUGAAUCAGUCAAUCUGAGUCGGAGGCGCGGGAUGGCCUCCCGACGGCGGCGGUGGCAGCAUCCUGUGCUGCGG